AUGGAUUCACAGCAGCCAUUGACUGAAGGUUUGAGACAUUCCAGUCGUGAUAGUCGACCUCCUGCCUACCUGCAGCAGUAUGACGUUCAGUAUCCUGGGAGUAGAAGAGCUACAUGUGAGACAGAGAGUCAAACCGAAUGCCAACACAGUGACAAAGACACACAUGGGCUGCAGAAUCCUGUCGGAGAAUCAGAAAGUCAACCAGAGAAACGUCCUGCCCCUUUACCUACCAACCAAGAUGAGGUUAUGAGAGAACUCCUGACGACGAUGAGGGAGAUUAGGCAAUUUAUGUGUCAAUCAUCUCCUUCCCAUUCUCGUAGCUCCAGAUCUUCAAUUCGCACUGUCUCGUCUGAUGGAAUCAAAUCUUCUGUAUGCAGUUUACGAGCCAGUCCUCAAACACAUCAACAACAUGAGCAGUUCCCAGUGAUUGAUACAGCAACCGGUCAAUCACCCUUUCAGCCCCCACAGAUUAGCCGUCAGUCUGGUUUAGUUCCGGCUGCCAGCCCUCCUUUACCCAAUUCAACAAUAUUAGAUGCUGCAGUCCCUUCAAGCGGUUUGCCUAGACCAGUCCUUGCUACACAAGAUGAAACUCCCUUUGAUUUCCUGGCCUUAUCACGGCAGGAUCCCCACCAGAUCUCAUGUGUUCAACCUGCUGUUUCUUUAGCUGAAGACCCUGUUCAACCUCUCAUUUGCAUAUCUGACCACAAUCAUCACCCUUCUCUAGAGCAACAACCAGCUACAUCCAAUGCCUUACAUGAACAGAAACCUUUGGUACCUGUUACUGCUAGGUCGGGUCACUCCUCUAGCACGAGAACACAUGUAUAUAAACUUGAAGGUCCUUCGUUUCCAGACCUUAGUAGAGAAGACGAAAUGCAAUACAGGAUGCUACGGAUGGCCCUUACAAACCUUCUUGAUCCUCAUGAGACAGAGCACUUCAAAUACCAUGUCCUUCUUGAUCACCUCAAAGUAGACCAAGCCAAACGAUUAGCUCUUGCCUUUUCCUACGCUCCUGACCCAUACACUCAAGCCAUCAAAGCCCUUGAUGAGCGUUAUGGGCAACCAAGACAGCUGGCGUUGAAAGAGCUAAAGAAUAUACUGGAAAUGCCUCCUAUCAGAGCAGGUGAUGGUCAGAGUCUUGAUAACUUUGCUCUUCGUGUACAGGCCUUAGUUGGUUUGCUUAGCACUAUGGGAGAUCAAGGACGUGCAGAACUAGAUUGUGGCUCCCAUGUUGAUCGCUUGUUAGCGAAGCUGCCUGCAGAGCAUUUCAGUCGCUUCAAACGGCACGUUUACAGGGAACAGGGAGAAAUGACGUAUACCUUGCCUUUGUUCUCAUCCUGGUUGCAAAUGGAGUGCAAGUGUCAACCAAGAAAGGACAGUGCUGUUUCAUCCUUCAACCAGCCACGACCUGCCCGUAAGUACACCUCUCCACUUACAACAAUAUUACAUGGGGCAAAUACAUCUGAUGAUCCUGUACAAGCAGCACAACCGAUCAUAACAACUAAGGCAACAUGUGCAUACUGCUGCUCACCUGAACACCACAUUAGUAAGUGUCCUGAGUUCAUUCAGAAGACAAAGGAUGAGAAAAUAAACUGGAUAAAAGCAAACAAACGGUGUUGGCGUUGUGCUAGAACUCAUCAGGCUGCAAAGUGUGACCUGAGGAAAGCAUGUGCCACCUGCAUGGGACGACAUCUACAGAUCCUAUGUGAUGUAAAUAAGAGAUCUAAAACUGAAACCAAUCCUGUAGUGAGGACACUGUAUUUUGAUAGACCUAGUGAUUGUCCUAGUGUACUAUUAAAGGUUGUGAAAGUGCUACUGCGAAAUGGCAAAAGAACUCUUGAAACAUAUGCAGUACUUGACGAUGGCUCCCAGCGUACCAUUCUUCUAACAUCAGCUGCACAGCAUCUCAACCUAACUGGGGAAGCAGAGAGAUUAUCACUUAGAACUGUCCGUCAAGAAGUUGAAACUAUUCAAGGUUCUUCCGUAAGUUUCAAAAUCUCACCCAUUGCACACCCAGAGAAAACCUACACAAUUAAUAAUGCCUUCACUGCAAGUCACCUAGCACUUUCAGACCACACCUACCCUGUAUCAUCUCUCCAACGGAGAUACAAGCAUCUUCAAGGUAUCCCAUUACCCAUUAUUAAUAAAGCAGCGCCACUCCUGCUCAUAGGCUCAGAUCAUACUCACCUCAUCACGCCUACAGCUCCAUUAAGACAGGGACCAUAUGGGUCUCCUGCAGCAGUUAAAACCCAAUUAGGAUGGACACUUCAAGGGCCGAUCACAGAUUUUCAGCCCCAGAUCAGUACAGAGCAUGUGCAGUGUUUGUUCACAUCUCUCAGUUCAUCUGCAGAUGUACUGCGUUAUCAUGUUGAGAAGCUAUGGCAACUAGACACUUUACCUGAAUACAGUGAGAAAUCUGUGAUCCGAUCAAAGCAAGAUCAACUGGCACUGGAACUCCUUGAACAGGCCACAAAAAGGGUUGAGAUCAAUGGUGUUAAUCGCUACGCCACUCCUCUUCUUCGGAUGGCAAACUUUCCUCCUUUGAAUGUCCCUCCAACUGUAGUCAUGUCUAGACUCCGCAACACUGAGGCUCGGUUAGCUAAAGAUCCUGACAAAGCCAUGUCUUACAAGGAUCAGAUUUUGAAAUUGGAGCAAGCAGGCUAUGUAGCUAAACUUAGCCCAGAGGAGAUGCACAAUAGCAAAGAAGCCUGGUAUAUUCCUCAUCAUAUGACAAGUCACAACAAUAAAGAUCGCAUAGUCUUUGACUGCUCUUUCACAUUUCAAGGUCAGUGUCUCAAUAAGUACCUAUUGCCAGGACCAAUCCUUGGGCCAACACUUCUCGGUGUUUUGUUGCGUUUUAGGCAACAUUCAGUGGCAAUAAGUGGCGACAUCAAAGGCAUGUUUCACCAAGUCCGUCUUCUGCCUCCUGAUAAACCACUCCUCCGAUUCCUGUGGCGUGACAUGAACAAAGCAGCUCCCCCUUCAGUGUAUGAGUGGCAGGUACUCCCCUUCGGUACGACCUGCAGCCCUUGUUGUGCAAUCUAUGCACUGCAGAAACAUGUGAAGGAAUAUCAAUCUGACAAAGAUGUGCAGUCUUCAGUAAUGCAGUGUUUCUAUGUUGAUAACUGCUUGCAGAGUUUUCCAUCAGCAGAGUCAGCUCGAACACUCCUAGACAAAUUAAGAAACCAUCUAUCAGAUGGAGGCUUCGACCUUCGCCAGUGGGCCAGCAAUAACCCUGUUGUGAUUAGCCAUCUACCAUCUGAAGUAAGAACGGCAAGCAAUGAACUUUGCCUGACUGAAGACAAGCCAUCUGGCCCACAUGAACGCACAUUAGGAUUAUUGUGGAAUUGUGAGACUGAUUUGUUUGCCUAUAAAUACAAAACUCUAGCCUCACACCCCACCACAAUGCGUCGUAUCUAUGCAGUACUUGCUCGUCUGUAUGACCCAUUAGGCUACUUACUUCCAUUCACAACACGCGCCAAAACCUUGGUGCAAGAGCUAUGGAGAAAAGAGAGAGAUUGGGACGACCCUUCCCUUCCACACAACCUCUUAGAGACAUGGAAGUCCUGGGAAGAAGAACUUUGUUAUCUUCCUCAAAUUGCCAUCCCACGUUGCUAUACUUCUAAGGAAAUGGAUGUUUCUACCACAGUUAGAGACAUUCAUAUUUUCUGUGACGCUUCGGAGCGAGCAUAUGGUGCUGUCGCAUAUUUGAGAUCAGAUGAUCUUGAAGGUCACGUGGAACUAAGUUUCUUGUUAGCUCGCUCACGUGUUGCUCCUAAACGGAAUCUAACAAUACCCAGACUGGAGCUAUGUGCAGCCCUCCUAGGUGCACGCCUCUGUGAGCUUAUACAAACAGAACUCACCUUACCAAUCAGGACCACCACCCUUUGGACUGACUCGACAACUGUACUUCACUGGCUUCAGUCAGAUUCCUGCCGUUUCAAGGUAUUCGUAGGAGCCAGAGUCUCAGAAAUUCAAAACCUCACAAACAGUCAAGACUGGAGAUACAUCAAUUCAGCCACAAAUCCUGCUGAUGAUGUUACGAGAGGUAAAUCCCUGAAAGAGUUCCUUAGCCCAAACAGGUGGACCAAGGGUCCCUCGUUUCUGCAUGAACCUCCAAAUAACUGGCCCACAGUUACAGAUCUCCAUCCUGAUCAUGAUCAGACUGAGUUAAAGAAAUCCUACUUUUUUGGUAUUGUCAGUACCCCUUCCCAUACAUACACACCCUGCUUCAGAACCUAUCAAGAACUAUUGGAUUUCACGGCUCGUUCACUCCCUAGCCAAAAGGGUAACAUUCCUUCUGCAGCUGAUUAUCUGACAGAAGAACAAGAAAUCCUUCGUCAGACACAACUGGACAGUUUUGGUGAAGAUUUAGCCCGUUUACAGUCAGACAAACCCCUCUCAUCCGACAGCCGUCUAUUGUGUUUGUCCCCAGUGUUGUGCAGGAAUUCUGGACUUAUCCAUGUAGGAGGCCGACUACGGCAAAGCCCGGACUUGGAAUUGAAUGUCAUUCACCCAAUAGUACUUGAUCCUGCUCAUCCAGUGACCAAACUGAUCAUACAAGAUUAUGAUGACAAACUGCAUCAUGCUGGUUCAGAAAGACUUUUUGCUGAACUACGCCGGAAAUUUUGGAUUCUUAGAGGAAGGGAAGCAGUACGCAGGCAUCAGUAUAGCUGCGCUGCAUGUCAGAAAUGGAGAGCACAGCCCAUCAUUCCAAAAAUGUCAGACUUGCCUGCUGCUCGUCUUAGGUUAUUCAAACCACCUUUCUACUCCACAGGAAUAGACUGCUUUGGACCAUACGUGGUCAAGACCGGUCGCAGAUCGGAGAAAAGGUGGGGAAUAAUAUUCAAAUGUCUCACGACUCGGUGUAUACAUCUUGACCUCCUAAACAGCAUGGAUACCGACUCCUUCCUCAUGGCCCUCCAACGAUUCAUUUCUCAACGAGGAACACCCCUGGAAAUUAUAUGUGAUCAAGGAACUAACUUUAAAGGAGGAGAUAAGGAACUACGGGCUGCCUUUGACAACCUUGCCCCGACUCUACAGCCGAUGACUAAAAGAAUCCAUUUCAAAUUCAAUCCCCCGCAUGCACCCCAUUUCGGUGGAGCCUGGGAGAGGGAGAUACGUUCUGUGAAGAAUGCUCUGAAGAGAACCAUUGGUGCACAAAUGGUCACUGAAGAGGUCUUAAGAACAGUCCUAAUUGAGAUUGAAGGCAUUCUUAACUCAAAACCCCUAGGCUAUGUAUCCUCAGACAUUGCGGAUAUUGAUCCCAUAACCCCAAACCUUCUCAUUAUGGGCCGACAUGAUUCGUCACUUCCAUUGGUAUCCUAUUCUGAUUCUGACCUCCUAGGUCGACGACGAUGGCGACAUGCACAAAUAUUGGCAGAUCACUUCUGGCGGCACUUCAUAAAGGACUAUCUACCAUCCCUUCAAAGAAGACACAAAUGGCAGAAGGAGAACCCAGAUCUCACACUGAACUCUGUCGUAAUGAUCAUGGAUUCACGCCUUCCACGUGCCCUCUGGCCUGUAGGAAGAGUGACACGCCUCCUGAAAAGUCCAGAUGACCGCAUCAGAACUGUGGAAGUCUUAGCACAGGAUAGAACCUAUAUCCGCCCUGUCUCCUGUCUGAUUCCCCUGCCCCCGCUUCCUGACGAAGACUGA
ensembl:lncRNA